AUACGGAGGAUCCGAGCGUUAUCCGGAUUUAUUGGGUUUAAAGGGUGCGCAGGCGGCCAUUUAAGUCCGCGGUUAAAUCGUGGGGCUCAACCCCAUUCUGCCGUUGAUACUGGGUGGCUUGAUUGCGGUCGAGGUUGGCGGAAUUCGUUGUGUAGCGGUGAAAUGCAUAGAUAUGACGAAGAACACCGAUUGCGUAGGCAGCUGACCAGACCGCAAAUGACGCUCAUGCACGAAAGUGCGGGGAUCGAACAGGAUUAGAUACCCUGGUAGUCCGCACAGUAAACGAUGAAUACUUGUUUUCGGCGAUAUAAUGUCGGAGGCAAAGCGAAAGCGAUAAGUAUUCCACCUGGGGAGUACGCCGGCAACGGUGAAACUCAAAUGAAUUGACGGGG
rnacentral:rRNA from 1 species